CCGAACGUCAGACGGCGGCAUGGACCGUCCGCCCUACUCCCCACAGUGUCUCGUUCUGGGUCCGGAGCCAGACACGGGAUGGGCGGGACCCAAAAGGAAGCCCCAUCCACAGGCCCUCGAUCUCGGUGAGCGGCGCUGGCUUGUCGGGAACGGUGAAGAACCUGCCGUGUUGUUUUUUGGCCACGGGCACCUCUGUUCGCUGCUUCUGAGAACCUUCAGGCAGGGAGGGUUGGUCCUGUUAGAGGUCCGUGUUGCUCUCCACUGCAAACUGUGUCCUUGUUGAGGCACAUAUCGGAGCCGCCGGGGAGCUCCAGAAGCAUCUGCGGACAGGGGGCACCCAGGGGACCCCA